UCUCCUGUCGCACUCUCUCUAUCUCUCUCGUGCCCUUCUCCUGGAAUAAUCUUCUCUCCUUCCUCGUGUACUACAAUUGAGUUUCCUUUUCUUUUGUUUGCUUCUCUUGGAGAAAGGUGAACCCUCGUGUUACUCUUUUAUUUGAUCUUUGUUCUUAAUUGUAGUUUUUACCCUUGUGGUCCCUGAUGGCUUCGCACAGUGAUACUCUGGUGGUGUUCUUUGGGGCAACAGCUGGUGCAAAUGGGGGUAAACUGGGGUCGGAUGAAAGGGAAUUAAUUCUCUUGGUGUGGCAAAUUGUGGAUCUACAAGAGAAGAAGGUGGGCAAGCUUCAGCGGCGUCUAGUCAAGCCGGACAGUGUGGAUCUUACAGACCAGUGUAAGGAGGAGACCGGGCUCACGGCGGAGGAACUGUGUAAGGCCGAGCCGCUGGAGAGCGUCCUGCAGCAGUUUCAUCAGUUGGUGUCAGCUGAAUUGAAGUCUCUGGGCAGAAGCUCCUACACGCUGUGUGUGGACGGACCACUGCUUAUCCGACAGGUGCUGCACCCCGAGGCCUCCAAAAAGAAUCUGGUCUUGCCUGAGUGUUUCUACACAUUUGUGGAUUUGAAGAAAGAGUUUCACAAAUGCUGCCCCAAUGCAGGCCUUGUCAAAGAUCUCACUCUGCCCUCCAUGUUGGACUAUGUGUGUAUUCCAGCAGUGGUGGAUCAGGAGGCAGGAUUGAGGGAGGUGAACACCAUGGUUCUGCUGAUUCUGCAUCUCCUGGCUGAGCCUUACAAUCACAAAUUCUCCACUUUUGAGACCGUAAACAACAAGUUUGAAUCCAGAGCGUGCAGUAAGACAGAAGCUGUGGACAGCGAGACUGUCAUCAGAGCUCGUGGGUUGCCAUGGCAGUCGUCUGAUCAGGACAUCGCUCGCUUUUUCAAGGGCCUCAACAUUGCCAAAGGCGGUGUUGCACUGUGUCUAAAUUCUCAGGGCCGGAGAAACGGGGAGGCUCUGGUGCGCUUCAUAAACUCCGAGCAAAGAGACAUGGCACUGGAUAGACAUAAACACCACAUGGGCAGCAGAUACAUAGAGGUAUAUAAAGCCACAGGGGAGGAAUUUCUGAAGAUUGCUGGAGGCACAUCCAGUGAGGUAGCUCAGUUUCUUUCAAAGGAAAACCAGGUGAUUAUCCGAAUGCGGGGUCUUCCAUUCACUGCUAGUCCUCAGGAUGUCCUGGGGUUCCUGGGUCCAGAGAGCCCUGUGACGGAUGGGACGGAAGGGCUUUUAUUUUUGAAGUACCCUGAUGGACGUCCCACAGGUGACGCUUUUGUUCUCUUUGCCUGUGAGGAAUAUGCGCAGAACGCCCUAAAGAAGCACAAACAAAUCCUUGGCAAGAGAUACAUCGAGCUGUUCCGCAGCACUGCAGCUGAGGUCCAACAGGUGUUGAAUCGCUACAUGUCCACACCACUGAUCUCCACUCUGCCGCCACCUCCCCCUCCGAUGGUUUCUGUGCCUGUUCUAGCCACGCCACCCUACAUUGCAACUGGCAGCACACGAGACUGCAUCAGGCUGAGAGGUCUGCCGUACACCGCUGCCAUCGAGGACAUUCUAGAAUUUAUGAGCGAACACACCAUUGAUAUCAAACCACAUGGAGUGCACAUGGUCCUGAACCAGCAGGGUCGACCCUCCGGUGAUGCCUUCAUUCAGAUGAAGUCAGCUGACCGUGCGUUUAUGGUGGCACAGAAGUGCCAUAAGAAGAUGAUGAAGGAUCGUUAUGUGGAGGUGUUCCAGUGCUCCACUGAGGAGAUGAGCUUCGUGCUGAUGGGGGGAACUCUUAACCGCAGCGGCCUGUCACCACCUCCCUGCAAACUGCCCUGUCUCUCUCCACCAACCUACACUGCGUUUCCGGCAACUGCAGCGAUGCUUCCCACUGAAGCAGCGUUUUAUCAGCCCCCUCUGCUGGCCACUCCAAGAACUCCACAGCCACCAACACACAGCCCUGCACCUACUUUAGCCUACUACUCUCCAACACCACAGCUUUACAUGAACAUGAACUACACUGCCUACUACCCCAGUCCUCCAGUCUCGCCCUCCACCAUGAGUUAUUUUGCAGCCCCGCCUGGUUCAGUAGCAGCUGCCAUGGCUGCCCAGACAGCCUCCGCCAUCCUGCCUCCUCAGCCCGGAGCGCUGGUGCGAAUGCAGGGCCUGCCGUACAACGCUGGGGUGAAAGACAUCCUCAGCUUCUUUCAGGGAUAUCAGCUGACACCUGAUUAGGCAGAGUCUUCAGAAGAUGUAUGCUCCUGAAGACUACAGCAGCUUGGUUGGAGUGAGUGAUCAGGGCCGGAGUCUUAUUCAGCCUAAAGAGUGGCUGUGUCUGUAGGGGGAGCUCCUGCAGAUUCAGGCGGACUCUGUGCUCGUGCUGUAUAAUUGGAGUGGUCAGCGUAGUGGGGAGGCUCUGGUGACCUUCCCCAGUGAGAAGGCAGCGAGACGGGCUGUGGCUGAAUGCUCCAACCUUCCCCUCUCCGGCCAACCCAUCCGCCUGGCCUGCUGCGAGUGACUAAACAGGGGCCGCCACACCCACUGAGGGAGGACCGCACUUCAACUAUCUCACCCCUUUCUCCCUCAGAACCCGUCUUGACCGUUUUCCCUCUGUACUUGACUCAAGGUUAUAGUUUAGGAGGGGACCUGGCACAGAAACACUUUGUAUAUGUUCAUGUGCACACAAAAAACUUAACAGCAAACUUAACAAGUGACAGUGCCUUGCUGCUUGUGGACAUGCAAGUGUUUGUGAUAGAGAGCAAAUGCAUGAAUGCUAAACUCUGUUCCUUCUUGUGAUUUGAUGUCAAGAACUCUUCUAUUUCAGGCCUUAAAUUAAUAUAGUAACAUUGAAAGCCUGCAGUUUGUGCAACAAAAACUUCAGCAGAAACUGUACCUUUUUCAACACCACUGCAUCAUUCCUGAAAUGCCAUACCAGGUAGUCCAGUAAACUAAUGUUAGGCCAUAGUCUUUACCUUGCACUAGGGAACCAAAAAGUAAUGCAGUACUACUUAUUGCCAUUAUGAAAGAAAAAAAAAGACUUAUUCAACUACAACUUAAAGUACAGUGGGAUUUUAAGUAAAGACUAAAACUAUUAUGUUUCAUGUAGGAUUAUAAAAAUGGCAUGAUGGUUUUCCUUGACUUUGGACAAAAAUAGCAUUAAAACUUAAUCCUUAUUUAAUAAAGAGCAGACCAAGUGUGUACUCCAUAGACUUGCAGGAACUGAUUUUUAGUUUAAUCCAUUCAGAAAGGUAACUUUUUUUUUUUUUAAUUUAAAGUGAAAGAUCUGCAUGCUUUCAUGCUCGUUCUUUAUAGAUUGAAUUGAAAGAGCUGUGUAUUCUGUUGUAUUCCUGUGUAUCCCCCCCCCCCCCCCACACA